rnacentral:lncRNA from 1 species
UUCUCUCUCUAUAUUCCGGCGAUUCAAAUUCAAAUUUUACAAACCCUGCAAACCUUAAUCUUCUUGCAGACGCCACUAUAAAAUCUUCUUUUGUUCAUCGAUUACUUCAUCAAAAGGGUUGUUGUCAUCGAUUGUCAUCAAAGUUUAAAUCAGCUUAGCUGCGGAUAGAUUUCUGCCAUAAGCUGUGGAUUCAACAUCAGGUGUUUGCUAUUUUUGUUUGAUGUUUUGAAGGGGUCAUUUGAGUGAAAUCAAUGUUGAUUUAUCAGAAGAUGCAGUUGAAGAUAUCUUAAUUAAGGUAAUAAUUGUAUUACAUCCUGUUGAAAAAUAGAAUUGAUAAAUUUAGGGAAAGUGAGGUU